rnacentral:rRNA from 1 species
GGAGGGUGCAAGCGUUAUCCGGAUUCACUGGGUUUAAAGGGUGCGUAGGUGGGUUGGUAAGUCAGUGGUGAAAUCUCCGAGCUUAACUUGGAAACUGCCAUUGAUACUAUCAGUCUUGAAUACCGUGGAGAUGAGCGGAAUAUGUCAUGUAGCGGUGAAAUGCUUAGAUAUGACAUAGAACACCAAUUGCGAAGGCAGCUCGUUACACGAAUAUUGACACUCAGGCACGAAAGCGUGGGGAUCAAACAGGAUUAGAUACCCUGGUAGUCCACGCCCUAAACGAUGGAUACUCGACAUACGCGAUACACAGUGUGUGUCUGAGCGAAAGCAUUAAGUAUCCCACCUGGGAAGUACGAUCGCAAGAUUG